UCACAUUUGAAAUGAUAAUCAAGAUGAUUGAGCAGGGAUUGAUCUUACAUGAUGGCUCCUAUUUCCGUGACCUGUGGAACAUUCUGGACUUCAUAGUUGUGGUGGGAGCUCUGGUGGCCUUUGCUCUCACGAAUGUGAUGGGGAGUAACACAGGAAGAGACAUUAAAACCAUCAAAUCACUGCGUGUUCUCAGAGUAUUGAGGCCUCUUAAGACUAUUAAAAGACUUCCCAAAC